rnacentral:rRNA from 1 species
AGAGUUUGAUCCUGGCUCAGAUUGAACGCUGGCGGCAUGCUUUACACAUGCAAGUCGAGCGGCAGCGCGGGGGCAACCCUGGCGGCGAGCGGCGAACGGGUGAGUAAUACAUCGGAACGUGUCCCGUAGUGGGGGAUAACCCGGCGAAAGCCGGACUAAUACCGCAUAUGCUCUACGGAGGAAAGUGGGGGACCCGCAAGGGCCUCAUGCUAUGGGAGCGGCCGAUGUCCGAUUAGCUUGUUGGUGAGGUAACGGCUUACCAAGGCGACGAUCGGUAGCUGGUCUGAGAGGAUGAUCAGCCACACUGGGACUGAGACACGGCCCAGACUCCUACGGGAGGCAGCAGUGGGGAAUUUUGGACAAUGGGGGCAACCCUGAUCCAGCCAUGCCGCGUGCGGGA